rnacentral:misc_RNA from 1 species
UGGCUCUCGCAACGAUGAAGAACGCAGCGAAAUGCGAUACGUAAUGUGAAUUGCAGAAUUCCGUGAAUCAUCGAAUCUUUGAACGCACAUUGCACUCUGUUUAGGCAGAGUAUGCCUGUUUGAGAAUCUAUAGUAUUCAUUUUUUCUAGUUUUUUAACGGACUAGAAAAAGAUUUGAGGCGUCCCACUUAACCUGGGUGCUUUUAAAACCAUUGCUGCAAGGUGUUAGAAUCAAGGCAGGGAAAAGUAUGUGAAUGGAACCUCGGUUUCUCUGAUGCUUAGUAUAUGUCUCUAACUUUAAGCCAUUGUACUCUACUAUUAAAAUUCUUUAUAGAAUUUGAACCAUGGUCUCAAAUCAGGCAGGAGGACCCGCUGA